rnacentral:rRNA from 1 species
CUACCACAUCCAAGGAAGGCAGCAGGCGCGCAAAUUACCCACUCCCGGAACGGGGAGGUAGUGACGAAAAAUAACAAUACGGGACUCUUUUGAGACCCCGUAAUUGGAAUGAGAACACUUUAAAUCCUUUAACGAGGACCAAUCGGAGGGCAAACCUGGUGCCAGCAGCUGCGAUAAAUCCAGUUCCGAUAGCGUAUAUUAAAGUUGUUGCGGUUAAAAGGCUCGUAGUUGGAUCUCGGUUCCGGACGGGUGGUCCGCCUACCGGCGGUCACUGCCCGUCUGAACGCGCGGCGUCGGUUUCCCCUGAUGAUCUUCAUCGGUUGUCUCGGGUGACCGGCAAGUUUACUUUGAAAAAAUUAGAGUGCUCAAAGCAGGCUCGACGCCUGGACAAUGGUGCAUGGAAUAAUGGAAUAGGACCUCGUUUCUAUUCUGUUGGUCUUCGGAACACGAGGUAAUGAUUAAGAGGGACAGACGGGGGCAUUCGUAUUGCGACGCUAGAGGUGAAAUUCUUGGACCGUCGCAGGACGAACUACUGCGAAAGCAUUUGCCAAGAAUGUUUCCAUUAAUCAAGAACGAAAGUUAGAGGUCCGAAGGCGAUCAGAUACCGCCCUAGUUCUAACCGUAAACGAUGCCAGCUAGCGAUCCGGCUGUGUUCCUCAAAUGACACGCCGGGCAGCUUCCGGGAAACCAAAGCGUUUGGGUUCCGGGGGAAGUAUGGUU